GGGCAGGGGCAGGUGCGGGCUGCGGGAGGGACUCGGAGCCCACAGAGGUAAUUCCACUCUGCGCCUCAAUUAUUCAUCGCGCUGGGGCUGUCUCUGCGUGGUCACCUGCGCGCUGCAGAGUCCCCCAGCGCUCCGGGGACUGCUCGGGGGCUGCUGGGGGGCCUCUGGGAGGCCUGUCGCUCGAGGGGAGGCCGGAUCAAGGAGAGUCACGCGGCUCCCUGGGGAGAACGGGCGCCGGGCCCUCACAGACCCCAGAGCGGCCAUGAGCUGGUGUGCAGCCGCCCAGGAGGGGACCCCACUUUGCCAGGAGGAAGCAGCUGGUUGAAUAGCAUUUAAAAAGAGAUUUGAAGAUUGAGGAGCAGAUGUUCUGAGUUCUGGUCUGGUCCUGGGAGCCAUGCAGCCUUGGUCAAGUCAGUUCCAUCUUCCUGAGGCUACACUUCAGCAUCUGUAGGAUGGGAGUGUUGAGCGCUAGAUCUAUGACUGGUGGGCCAAACCUGCCCUGCUGCCUGUUUUUGCAAAUAAAGUUUUAUUGGAACACA
ensembl:lncRNA novel transcript